GACGAACGCUGGCGGCGUGCCUAAUACAUGCCAGUCGAACGCACAGUUUAUACCGUAGCUUGCUACACCAUAGACUGUGAGUUGCGAACGGGUGAGUAACGCGUAGGUAACCUGCCUGGUAGCGGGGGAUAACUAUUGGAAACGAUAGCUAAUACCGCAUAAUAUUAAUUAUUGCAUGAUAAUUAAUUGAAAGGUGCAAUUGCACCACUACCAGAUGGACCUGCGUUGUAUUAGCUAGUAGGUGAGGUAACGGCUCACCUAGGCGACGAUACAUAGCCGACCUGAGAGGGUGAUCGGCCACACUGGGACUGAGACACGGCCCAGACUCCUACGGGAGGCAGCAGUAGGGAAUCUUCGGCAAUGGACGAAAGUCUGACCGAGCAACGCCGCGUGAGUGAAGAAGGUUUUCGGAUCGUAAAGCUCUGUUGUAAGAGAAGAACGGGUGUGAGAGUGGAAAGUUCACACUGUGACGGUAUCUUACCAGAAAGGGACGGCUAACUACGUG
rnacentral:rRNA from 1 species